UUGCUGAGCUCCCCAGGACCUGGUAUUUACUUCAGCCCCAGCUGCAAACCUUCUCUCUCACUCCAGGAAUUGCAUAAAUAAACCACUGAGAACAGAGCCCUCCUCACCACAAACAGCACACGGGCUUCUGCUGGGCUUCUGCUCCGCCUCUGAGGCUUUGGACCAGCUCCUGGGAGGGGCUCCUGCCCGGUGACAGGAGCCGCAUGGAAAAAGACUGAUUUGUUCUGAAAUGUUCUGGUUUCCUGAGAAGAACCCAGGGUUCCAGCCGGCACAGAUACACGUGUACGCACACGCAUGACGCACAGAUCGGUCCACACGCUCCGGCUACAUGGGUUCACGGAUUGGGCUAUAAUGCCCCGCGACAGGGAUAUCAUUGCAUGCACUGCUGGGGCCCCUGCAACGUUGUGCUUGGAAUAAAGUUAAU